UACAGAGGGGGCAAGCGUUAUUCGGAAUUAUUGGGCGUAAAGGGCGCGUAGGCGGCCUGGCAAGUGGAUGGUGAAAUCCCUCGGCUUAACCGAGGAACUGCCAUCCAGACUGCUUGGCUUGAGACCGGGAGAGGUGAGUGGAAUUCCCAGUGUAGCGGUGAAAUGCGUAGAUAUUGGGAGGAACACCCGUGGCGAAGGCGGCUCUCUGGGACGGUACGUGACGCAUGAGAC
rnacentral:rRNA from 1 species